rnacentral:rRNA from 1 species
UACGUAGGGAGCAAGCGUUGUCCGGAUUUAUUGGGCGUAAAGAGCUCGUAGGCGGCUUAGUAAGUCAGGUGUGAAACCUCCAGGCUCAACCUGGAGACGCCACUUGAUACUGCUAUGGCUUGAGUACGGUAGGGGAUCACGGAAUUCCUGGUGUAGCGGUGAAAUGCGCAGAUAUCAGGAGGAACACCGACGGCGAAGGCAGUGAUCUGGGCCGAUACUGACGCUGAGGAGCGAAAGCGUGGGGAGCGAACAGG